UGGGGAAUCUUGCGCAAUGGGCGAAAGCCUGACGCAGCGAUGCCGCGUGAGGGAAGAAGGCCUUCGGGUUGUAAACCUCUUUCAGGAGGGACGAAGCUACUCGGGUGAAUAGCCCAGAGGGUGACGGUACCUCCAGAAGAAGCCCCGGCUAACUACGUGCCAGCAGCCGCGGUAAUACGUAGGGGGCAAGCGUUGUCCGGAUUUAUUGGGCGUAAAGAGCGUGUAGGCGGCCUGAAAGGUCAGCUGUGAAAACUCGAGGCUUAACCUCGAGACGUCGGUUGAAACCAUCUGGCUAGAGUCCGGAAGAGGAGUGUGGAAUUCCCGGUGUAGCGGUGAAAUGCGCAGAUAUCGGGAAGAACACCCGUGGCGAAGGCGGCACUCUGGGACGGUACUGACGCUGAGACGCGAAAGCGUGGGGAGCGAACAG
rnacentral:rRNA from 1 species